GGAGGAAAAGAAACCAACAGGGAUUGCCUCAGUAACGGCGAGUGAAGCGGCAAGAGCUCAACUUUGGAAUCGCUCCGGCGAGUUGUAGUCUGGAGGUGGCCACCACGAGGUGUUUUAGCAGCAGGCAAGUCCUUUGGAACAAGGCGCCAGCGAGGGUGACAGCCCCGUACCUGCUUUUGCUAGUGCUUCCUGUGGCCCACCGACGAGUCGAGUUGUUUGGGAAUGCAGCUCUAAGUGGGUGGUAAAUUCCAUCUAAGGCUAAAUAUUGGCGAGAGACCGAUAGCGAACAAGUACAGUGAUGGAAAGAUGAAAAGCACUUUGAAAAGAGAGUGAAACAGUACGUGAAAUUGUUGAAAGGGAAGGGCUUGCACCCAGACACGGUUUUACCGGGCCAGCAUCAAGUAGAACGGGGUUAAAAGACCUGGGGAAUGUAGCUACCUCUUGGUAGUGUUAUAGCCCUUGGGUGAUGACCCCCGUUUUGCUUGAAGGACAGCGGUCUCUAGGAUGCUGGCGCAAUGGUUGCAAGCCACCCGUCUUGAA
rnacentral:rRNA from 1 species